rnacentral:lncRNA from 1 species
CAGAGACAGCUGGCUUUUACCACUCUUCCAGGCUCCCAAUUUCCAGACUCUCAGUCAACUUAGAUUGCAGGCAGCAGGGAGAGGAAUCUGCUGAAAGCAGCAAGGAGCAAUCAGUACUCACCAAUCCUCAAGUUCUCCUAGAGUUACAGGCUCAGAGAGCAUGUGAUAUUCCUGUCAAGGUAUCAAUCUCAGAAGACAGUUUUUACAAAAUCUUCUGCCAGAGCAUCACAAGGGUCACCAGCUUUCCAGUCUGCAUAUCUGUGUUUGCUCCGCCUGACUAUGAAGCCAAUGCCACAUAUAAAGCCCCUCGUUCUGUGCUUGGUUUUCCCAUCUGCAAAAGGGGCGAAGGAGAGGCCCGCCUCCCAGUGUGUUCGGAAGAUCGCGAGAGAUGGCACAGCCAGGACACUGAGCAGGGCGCCCAGCGCCCUCGGUAAACAGGCAUCACUUUGAUGACCUCUUGCGGCAUCUUGCCUCCCUGUCCCCUCCUGUAGGCUUGGCAGGGACCAGGGCAGGUGCUGAGAUGGUCUCUCUGAAGCCUCCCCAACCCUAGCCGGAGUGCAUCAGCCCGCCUAAGAGAAGACUUGGGGACAUGUGAUAACGUGUCCCAGAGAAGGCUCGGAGCCUCUGUCUGUCCCCAGAAGCCCCAGUGGGCUGCAGAUAGAGGCAUGGGCCAGCUUUUGCCCGAAACCUGGCCCAGCUAUUUUUCUGACCCCUUCACAGUUCUGUCUCAGGCAUUGGUGGCAGGGCCAGCUUCAUGAGUUUGCAACCUGUGCAGUCACUCAGGGCCCCAUGAUCUUAAGGGCUCAACACCUGCUUUAAUGCUCUGAUGUCACCAUUUUGCAAUCCUUAAUAAUUUUGGAAAAUGGGGCACCCGCAUUUUCAUUUUGCCCUCAGUCCCACAAAUUAUAUAGCCCGUAGUGAUGGUGGGAAAGGUAGAGUGAGCUGGCUGGGCUCUUCCCUAGAAAAGCUGGUGCCAUCGCCCACCUCUUCACUUCCAUACAUACUCGUCUGCCACCUCCAUUGUCCCCUGUUUAUCCCCACAGCAGAGCAUCCAGAAGGGCUGGGGUCACACGUGGAGCCCUCACCGCCAGGAGGCACCAACAGAAUCUGGCAGCCUGCUUGGCUUGGAAACCCCCUUGGGGACAACUCCCACUCACAGGGCCUGCUGGCCAGGCCACCCGAAUUCCCAUCCUCUGACAGUCCUCUCUAGUCGCCUCCGCCCGACUCCACAGCUCAAGUGUGAAACCACAGCUGGGCGCCAGCCAAGGGGGCUUGGGUUUCACCACAUUCAACUUCCCACACCUCCACCCGAGGCCAGGGUCCCAUGGGGCCAUGGGCCAAAGGCCUGGGAUGGAAGGCAGAGUAGGAGGUGGGUUCCAGUCCCCCUUAGCUUCCUCUGUAUCUCAAAGUACCCUCUCUCUUGGGCCUUAAUUUCCCCUCUACAUAAUGGGACAGGAUUCAGCAGGGAUGGAGCAGAUGCUAAGGGUGCAGGGAAGAUAGGGCUCAGAGACCAAGGCCUUGAAGAAAGCUCUAGAACUUCACUGUCCAAUAAAAUAGCGAAGAGCCACGUGUGGCUAUUUAAAUUAAUUUCAAUGAAAUAAAAUUAAAAUUUUAGUUCCUCAGUCAGUCCAGCCACAUUUCAAGUGCUCAGUAGUGACAUGUGGCUUGUGGCUGCCAUAUUGGGCAGCACAGAUAUAGAACAUUUUCAUCGAC